rnacentral:misc_RNA from 1 species
AGCAGCCGCGGUAAUUCCAGCUCCAAUAGCGUAUAUUAAAGUUGUUGCAGUUAAAAGCUCGUAGUUGAAUUUCGGGGUCAGCAAGUUGGUCGUGCCACUGGUAUGCACUGGCUUUGCUGAUUCCUCCUUCUUGAAGAACUGUAAUGCUAUUAAUUUAGUGUUGCAGGGAAACAGGACUGUUACUUUGAAAAAUUAGAGUGUUUAAAGCAGGCUAACGCUUGAAUACAUUAGCAUGGAAUAAUGAAAUAGGACGUUUGAUCCUAUUUUGUUGGUUUCUAGGAUUGACGUAAUGAUUAAUAGGGAUAGUUGGGGGCAUUAGUAUUCAAUUGUCAGGGGUGAAAUUCUUGGAUUUAUUGAAGACUAACUAUUGCGAAAGCAUUUGCCAAGGAUGUUUUCAUUAAUCAAGAACGAAAGUUAGGGAUCGAAGACGAUCAGAUACCGUCGUAGUCUUAACCAUAAACUAUGCCGACUAGGGAUCGGAUGAUGUUAAUUUUUUAAUGA